ACCAAAGUUGUCUCUGGUGUGAACCUUAGCCCUAGAAGCACUAGAACUUACUUGAAGACUAGUCUUAGAUGCAAGCAAGAAACUUUAAGGAUCAAGAAUGCUAAUAACAAGAAAUCUCCAAUAGGAAAGUUUCCAGCUUCCUCACCAGGAGACUGGAGGAAAAUGUCACUACCAGCAAUGCUACUA